GAUGGUUAAUUUUGUUAUUUUUAAAUUAAUAAGUGAAGCAGUAAUGAACAUUCUUGUUUAAAUCUUUUCAUGGAUAAAUGUUUUCAUUUCUUGUAGGUAAAUAUCUAAGUGUGGAAUUGCUGGAUUAUGAGCAAGAAGAAGCUGGAAAACUGAAAAUCAAUGACUCUUAUUGGACACAUCAGAGAACUGAGGUUAUAGGGCAACCCUUCUCCCCAAAAUCUGGGAGACAGGUUCAUCCAGAGAAACAUAGCCAAGAGCUUCUUACCUGAAGCAGAAGGUACUCAAGCCAUAAAGUAGACAGAACCUUUACACAGUAAAUUUGAUAAAUUUUGUUGGAGGCUGAGUAUGGACUUGAAUGAGAAACUCCUGGGAAUCACAGUCUCAGGUGGCCCCUGCACUUUCACGGACUGUAUUUUCAGGGACCUCAGCAGGUUCUCACAGUGAAGGGCGAAGGAAGAUCCCCUGGUAGCUCUGGAAGAGAAGAGGAAGAGUGAGAAAUAUACCCAGAAAUAUCCCAAUGGGAAAUAUACCCAGAGACCUCUCCCUAACAAUGGCCUAUGCUCCAUGGGGAAAGAAUCUUUCAGAACUUUAUCCCAAUUGGGGGAAGGAUAUUCUUCCCACUGAAGCUCCCUCCAGUCUUCCUGUCUCAUGUAAGGAGGAAAGACAUAGUCAACAAGGGUCAAGGCUUUAAGAAAAUAUAUUGGGAUUGGAGCAGUCAGGGAUAGGAGUGGAGGCAAGAGAGGGAAAAAGGUCUUUACCACUGGAGAAAAACUUGUAAAAGACACAGGCCCAAUAAAACACAGAGAUUUAAUUAGAAGAGUAUAGAAUGCUCCUUAUCCGCCAUGGCUUACCACCACACCAGCGGGGCUCCAGUAUUAUAACAGUGGAUUACAGCUGAAAGAGCUGUACAACACAACUCUUUUUGAGGAGGAAUACCUAGGGAAGCUGAAAGUCAAAAAGGGAGACGAAAACAAAGAUGCCAGAGGAAUUUGAAGCUUCUGGCAUCUAUAGCUACAUCAAACAUUAAAAAGUCUAAUUUCUAGCUAGAUUACCAUAAACUCUAAAAUUAACAAACUAUUUACCUGAGUUCUUAUUAUCUAAUACAGCAUGCCCAGCUUUUCUCAACAAAUUGUGGAAGAGAAUGGGGAGAAUUAUUAUGCCAAGAAAAAAUGCUGCAUUUAAGGGGUCUUCCAUACCUCAGUCCAUCCUGCCUUCCUUUACCAUUGCCAAUAGAUCAGCUGGCCUCUUCUUACCUGAUACACUUAUCAAGUUUAUGGCACGUCUUCUCAUCUGCCUGCCUAUAUCUAGACAUAGAACUUACCCUAGAGGAUGUUGUCACUUUCUGCUGACCCAUGAAAGGUUUUGAUCUAUUAAAAAUUAGUUUGUCAAGGUUUUCUUUUGUCCACCACUUUUCUAUUGUCUCAUAUGUAAGUAUAAUUUUAUAUUAUGACUUUUCUUGUGUUACUGUAAGAAUGAAGGUCUUCUGAGUCUUUUCACAUCUUAACUCUUGCCCCAUUUAUUUAUUUUUUUACUGUGCUUUCUAUUUCCCCCCAAGAUUCUUAUCUCAGUGUUUUUUUGUCAGUUUGUUAAUAUCAUCCCAAACUUUUAAUUGUUUUUCUUAUUUGAUUAUUUGCUCAGAUGUUCUUGGCUUGAACUAUUCCUCAUUUUCCUUAAACCUUGUUUUAACAGGCCAAAAAGAAGGUGUAUGGCUUUUACUGUGACACACAUAACUUAGUCAACACUUGCCUUUACUAAGAAGGAGUCUUUUUUAAACCAAUACAUAAUUAUAGAAAUAGAAUAGAUGGUUGAUUCAAGAAUCUGCUGAUUUACCUUUCAUGCAGUAGGCCACAUGUACACUCACUCUAUUCUCACUCUCACUCUCUCUCUUUCUCUAAUUGUCAAUCCAAGUCACAGUGGUUCAAAGGACUUUCAUAUAAUAAUUAUUUUAUGUCAAAAUAACCACUACUUAUCAGAAAAUAAAAAUUCUUUAUCUCUUCUGC